ACGUAGGGGGCGAGCGUUAUUCGGAAUUACUGGGUGUAAAGGGUAUGUAGGCGGCCCUUCAAGUCGCGUGUCAAAGUCCAGGGCUCAACGCUGGGUGUGCGCGCGAUACUGACGGGCUGGAGGGCGGGAGAGGUAAGCGGAAUUCCCGGUGUAGCGGUAAAAUGCGUAGAGAUCGGGAGGAACACCAGCGGCGCAGGCGGGUCACUAGACAGUUUCUGACGCUAAGAUGCGAAAGCGUGGGGAGCAAACAG
rnacentral:rRNA from 1 species